UUUACUUGUGCAGGGUCUCCUCUCCGCAGACAUUGUGUUUAAAGCUCUGAAGGACUGCGCGGCCUCAGAUCCAACGAGGCUGCGACGUACGUGAGGCGCCUCAGCACGGUAUCGUGCACGGUAAGUCUGGGCCGCAAGCAUAGGGUUUUGACUGCUGUUCGCGCUUAAAUGCAACCGUUAGUCGUUGGAAUCCGCAUGUUUAACCGUGUCAUCUUUACUUGUGCAGGGUCUCCUCUCCGCAGACAUUGUGUUUAAAGCUCUGAAGGACUGCGCGGCCUCACAUCCAACGAGGCUGCGACGUACGUGAGGCGCCUCAGCACGGUAUCGUGCACGGUAAGUCUGGGCCGCAAGCAUAGGGUUUUGACUGCUGUUCGCGCUUAAAUGCAACCGUUAGUCGUUGGAAUCCGCAUGUUUAACCGUGUCAUCUUUACUUGUGCAGGGUCUCCUCUCCGCAGACAUUGUGUUUAAAGCUCUGAAGGACUGCGCGGCCUCAGAUCCAACGAGGCUGCGACGUACGUGAGGCGCCUCAGCACGGUAUCGUGCACGGUAAGUCUGGGCCGCAAGCAUAGGGUUUUGACUGCUGUUCGCGCUUAAAUGCAACCGUUAGUCGUUGGAAUCCGCAUGUUUAACCGUGUCAUCUUUACUUGUGCAGGGUCUCCUCUCCGCAGACAUUGUGUUUAAAGCUCUGAAGGACUGCGCGGCCUCACAUCCAACGAGGCUGCGACGUACGUGAGGCGCCUCAGCACGGUAUCGUGCACG
rnacentral:lncRNA from 1 species